UACAGAGGGUGCGAGCGUUGUUCGGAAUUACUGGGCGCAAAGCGCGCGCAGGCGGCUCUUUAAGUCUCGUGGUCAAAUGCCGGGGCUCAACCCCGAGCGUGCCGGGGAUACUGGAGGGCUGGAGACAGGUAGAGGCAAGCGGAAUUCCGGGUGUAGCGGUGGAAUGCGUAGAGAUCCGGAAGAACACCGGUGGCGAAGGCGGCCUGCUGGGCAGUUGCUGACACUGAGGCGCGACAGCGUGGGGAGCAAACAGG
rnacentral:rRNA from 1 species